rnacentral:rRNA from 1 species
UACGAAGGGGGCUAGCGUUGCUCGGAAUUACUGGGCGUAAAGGGAGCGUAGGCGGGUUAACAAGUUGGGGGUGAAAGCCCGGGGCUCAACCUCGGAAUUGCCUUCAAAACUGUUAGCCUAGAGUAUGAUAGAGGUAUGUGGAACUCCGAGUGUAGAGGUGAAAUUCGUAGAUAUUCGGAAGAACACCAGUGGCGAAGGCGACAUACUGGGUCAUUACUGACGCUGAGGCUCGAAAGCGUGGGGAGCAAACAGG